rnacentral:rRNA from 1 species
AUACGAAGGGGGCUAGCGUUGUUCGGAAUUACUGGGCGUAAAGCGCGCGUAGGUGGAUGUAUAAGUCAGAUGUGAAAGCCCUGGGCUCAACCUAGGAACUGCAUUUGAAACUGUACGUCUAGAGUAUGGUAGAGGUGAGUGGAAUUUCAGGUGUAGCGGUGAAAUGCGUAGAGAUCUGAAGGAACAUCAGUGGCGAAGGCGACUCACUGGGCCAUUACUGACACUGAGGUGCGAAAGCGUGGGUAGCAAACAGGAUUAGAAACCCCAGUAGUCC